ACACUGAUGGUGAAACGGUAUCAUGCUUGCCUUCCAUCAGGGUCAUCGCGGUAGCAAGCGGCGUGGGUUCGACUCCCGCUCAGUGUA